GAAGAUGAGCCAGAAAGUCAGAGUUCAAAGUUCAAUCUGUUAUCAUUAUUUUCGCCAUCGGGGAAUCCGUUCGCAAGUGCAAUAUAAUUGGACCUAUGGAACCAAUGCCAUCCUUUAAAACGCCUGUUCUCCUCGGUUCUGUACCUUGAAUAGAAUAAACUAAAUCUCUUUGAUUAGUGAUUUAGAGCAAUUGAAUUGAGAACAGCCAAAGAUUUUAAAAUGCGUCGACUAGGAAUAUCAUUUUUAUGGAAGGUGGUUGCCACUCUAUUAAUAAUUUGCUGUAUUAUUUUAACUGCAUCAACAGCUCCAACAAAAGAAACUAGAAGAUUUCUUUUAUUGUGUUCUCCUGGCUCUGAAAGAAGAAAUAUUUGCGAACGCUGCACUAAAGUUACCAGAGAUCCAAGAGCAUUUGAGUUCUGCUGUGAUCAAAGAGACGGUGUCUUGGAGUGGUGCGUGGAGUUUUUGAAUUUCAAAUUUAAUCCUUGAAAGAACUGAAUCAAGAAAAAACUGACUCGAGAAAUAACUUUAUUUAUUAUAUUUUUAGUUAGUUAUUUUAUAAUUCCCAACGUCAUCACUUUAGAUGUACGUGUCAGUGAUAUUAGCAGUAUAUAACAUAUGGUUUCCAUUUGAGAACUCAUUUCAUUGAACUAUUUUACCUCAAUUGGAUUGGCGUAACUAAAUUGUAAAUUCAUAUGUAUCAUCUUAGGUUACCUGUUUCUUUGAACAACACUAUGUGCAACACUAAUAAUAUUCCAAUUGUCUGAAAAAUCACAAAAGCAUUAAAAAGAUUAACAAAAAGCU